rnacentral:rRNA from 1 species
GAUGAACGCUGGCGGCGUGCCUAAUACAUGCAAGUCGAGCGAACAGACGAGGAGCUUGCUCCUCUGACGUUAGCGGCGGACGGGUGAGUAACACGUGGAUAACCUACCUAUAAGACUGGGAUAACUUCGGGAAACCGGAGCUAAUACCGGAUAAUAUAUUGAACCGCAUGGUUCAAUAGUGAAAGACGGUUUUGCUGUCACUUAUAGAUGGAUCCGCGCCGCAUUAGCUAGUUGGUAAGGUAACGGCUUACCAAGGCAACGAUGCGUAGCCGACCUGAGAGAGGGAUCGGCCACACUGGAGCGGAGACACGGUCCAGACUCCUACGGGAGGCAGCAGUAGGGAAUCUUCCGCAAUGGGCGAAAGCCUGACGGAGCAACGCGGCGUGAGUGAUGAAGGUCUUCGGAUCGGAAAACUCUGUUAUUAGGGAAGAACAAAUGUGUAAGUAACUAUGCACGUCUUGACGGUACCUAAUCAGAAAGCCACGGCUAACUACGUG